rnacentral:rRNA from 1 species
GACGAACGCUGGCGGCGCGCCUAACACAUGCAAGUCGAACGGAUCUGAGAGAAGCUUGCUUUUCUUAGCUUAGUGGCGAACGGGUGAGUAAUGCGUGACUAACCUGCCCUGGAGUGGGGGACAACAGUUGGAAACGACUGCUAAUACCGCAUAAGCCCACGAUCCGGCAUCGGCUUCAGGGAAAAGGAUUUAGUCGCUUCAGGAUGGACGCGCGUCCAUUUAGCUAGUAGGUGCGGUAACGGCCCACCAAGCCGACGAUGAGUAGCAGGACUGAGAGGUAGAGCGGCCACAUUGGGAGUGAGGCACGGCCGGGACACAUACGAGAAGCAGCAGUGGGGGAUACUGCACAAUGGGGGAGUGUCUAAUGGGGCGUCGCAGCGUAGAGGAAGUAAAGUUGGGAAGAAUAGAAGCAUGUUGAUAGGGACGAUUAUGACGGUACCUAACAGGAGAGCAACGGGUAAAUACGUA